AUGCCCACGCACGGAGGCGGCUGUGCGGGAUCUCGACGCGGUGUCACCAUGUGCCUUCACCACACUACACCGGCUCUAGUAGCCAUUAAGGCGAUGAUAGAUUCCAUGGGACUGUUGUGCAUGGUACCAAGCCAAGAUGGUGACUCCAACCAUCAAAGAGACCAUCUGCUGCAAACAGAAGAAUGGUUGAAGUUUCAUGCCGUAGUGGCGAAGCAAGAAAAGACGAUUGCUGACAGAGAUGACCCUGGUGAAGCUAUGAGAAAAAAGUUAGAUGGCAUGCGCGAAAAAUUGAAGUCUGCAGAGAAUUCUGAAGAUUGGAAUAGUGUUCUCAGAAUAGAAGAGAAGCCGAGUCUUCCUCCUGAUGGUGAACGAAAGGAAUACUUCAUGAAAUUGGACCAAGAUCUGCAAAAGAUCGCAGCUUUGCAAGCAAAAGAUUGGCUUGUGAACAAACCGAAGAAGCAGAACUCAGUUCCAUUAUAUGAAAAUCCUGUCCUAAAAUGUUCUGAUUUACAACAGUGGAUUCACAAGCUAUCAGAAGAACAAAUGCCUGUGAGCCUUGCAUUGGGAGAUUUUAAACUUGAUCUGAUUGAGACUUUUUUUAACCCAAGCCAAGAAGGUUCUCUAAGUAAUUUUAUCAGCUACUUCAGUGAUCGGCUGUGUGACCAUGACCAGAAUUUUACAUUUCGACAUGGAAAAGAAUCAUGUCGCCUAUUGGAAUAUCAGACACCUAAUAAACAGCCACCCAGAUGGAUGUUCAUUAAAAUGAAGAAAGAUAAUGCUCGAGCUGGGAUUUACAUGAGUAGUGAUAACUUAUACCUUUUUGCUUUCAGUAACAAGAAGGGUGAAAUCUUUGAGCUUGUGAAGGAAGAUUGUCUGCGAAUAAUCAAAGGUUCUGUUGCAUUUGGCUGUAGCACAGACUACCCAAGCAUCCUGAACUACGAAAGACCUCGACCGAUUCCAGAAGGUGAUUGUGAAAAGAGGUUGCUGGGCAUAAUUCUAAAUAUGGAGAAAUUUUCACAUGGCAUCGAAGUGCUGUCAAACUAUGACCACAGUAUUCUAUCAAACCAUGAUGUGAGUGAGGCUGAAAAACAACGACUCAUUCAAGAAGUGCAAGAGGCAUUAGCACGGAAUGCAGUGGUUUUAGCUGAAGUUUCACUUAUCGUUAAUCUAUUCAUAUCUGUCAAUGAGAACUGGAAGGAGAGUCGUUCAAGCCUGACAAAACUCUUGUAUGAGUAUAUGAUGCAUUGGAAGGUAAUGUCAAAUAAGGUCCACAAUGGUCCUAUUGAUUCUAAGUUUGAGGACAACUUAGUGGCUAAAAUCUUGUUGCGAUUCAGACAUGAAGCAAUUAAAGUGCAUAAUCUGGUUUGCAACGUGAAGGGUCCUGGAAUUAUUAAGAACGGACCCGGACCCAUGGCACCUGGUGACGAUGGCAAAGGAUCAAAGGAGCCUGGACCAUCUGGUGGUGAUGACAAAGAGCAAAAGACAUCUGGAUCUAGCUCUGGACUGUCUGGACAUGGUAAUGACAAAGAAACAAACACACCUGGAUCUGGACCAUUUGAUAGUUGUGAUGACAACCUGGAAGGUCGCCGUGAUGGUGGAAAACAGAAGGAAAAUUAUAAUGAUAGCAGGCCAGGGACCAGUGAGAUGAGCAAAAUAGCAAUGGCUUUCAUGGUAGGAUUGACCAGCGGCAAGAACUGGGUUCAGCCUUCGAUCAGCAAAAGAAGCAUGGAACCUUUCGUCAUCACAAAAAGAGGGGUGGAAUCUUUGAUCAUCAGCAGAAGAAGCGUGGAACCUUUGAUGGUGCCAUUGCUACCUGAUUCUCUAGGAUCUGCACAUACAACUGGUUUGGGUCAGGUGCUGUCAUUAGUACCUGAUUCUUCGUUGUUUUCACAUGGACAUGGUUUGGAUCCGAUGCUGCUGCCAGUGAUACGUGGAUUAGAGGUGUUGCUAGAGCUGAUCCGCAGUAAAACUUCUAAUGUUCUUGCUGUUAACUCUCCUUUGAUUUUUUUACACGAACCAGAUUUGGGUGAGGUGCAAGGACUGAUCAGUGCGAGUGAAACUACUUUGGUUGGGAUUUCGCCUGAGGAAGAUAUUGUUAACUUCUUCAAGAAAUCUAUCCCCUCAGAACCAUAUUUUCCUAAAGGCCAGACUCUCUUCGAAAUUUUCUGUAUCCACACAAAUUUGUGCUUGAUAAAGACCAUUGUACUUUAUGAUGAUCGAGGUGGUACUUUAAUCUAUGAGUCAAAGGAAGGAGAAAAGGAUCAGUUUAUUAAAAGACGCUCCAUUUGGUUAUCAGAGCAUAUAGGAAAAAAACCUUCCGCUUUCAUCGACUCUCUUGCUCUUGAAGGCCCGAGCCGUCCCAUGACUGCUCAUGCAGGGUGCUGGAUCAUUGAAAUUGAUGUUCCGGUUGAAUCAUCUUUCAAGCCUGAAGACCCUGAAAUACCUGGGAGAGUAUUCGAGAGUACAUUAUUGUUGAAUGAUGAUCCCCUUGACAAACCCAGGAGCAAUUUAAUUUCUAUCAGAGGUGGCUUUGUGAACAUCACCUCGGUGACUUUCAGCAAUGCGGUUUGCUCUUCAAUUCGAUUUGUACUUUGUUCUCACCCUGAUGACAGUUUCUAUGUGCACCCUAAAGUGGAGGGUGAGCUUGUAUUAUCUGUUGAAAAUUAUCCAGUUGGCUUCACUAUUUUCAAAAAUCAAGUUGAGGAUGAUGCUGUUCAUUUCAUGAGACGGAGUGACACAAUAUUCGAACUUCCCUUGUCUCGGCAUGUUCUUGCACUGCCUGUUGAAUCUCGUGUACAUGUCUUGGGGACUUUGAAACUAGCGACUUCGGAAGUGCUUGUAGAUCAGUAUCUGGUGCUCGACAAGAAUGUUGUACGGGCUGGAUGGACUGUGGAAACGGGCCUGUAUGCUGCUAUAUGCAUUGAGUUAAGUUCUGUUUUCUAG
rnacentral:rRNA from 1 species